rnacentral:rRNA from 1 species
AUACGGAGGGUGCAAGCGUUAAUCGGAAUUACUGGGCGUAAAGCGUGCGUAGGUGGUUUGUUAAGUCAGAUGUGAAAGCCCCGGGCUCAACCUGGGAACUGCAUUUGAAACUGGCAUACUAGAGUAUAUGAGAGGAAAGUGGAAUUUCAGGUGUAGCGGUGAAAUGCGUAGAUAUCUGAAGGAACAUCAAUGGCGAAGGCAGCUUUCUGGACUAAUACUGACACUGAGGUACGAAAGCGUGGGUAGCAAACAGAAUUAGAAACCCCAGUAGUCC